rnacentral:rRNA from 1 species
GUCCACGCCGUAAACGAUGAUAACUAGCUGUCCGGGUACUUGGUAUCUGGGUGGCGCAGCUAACGCAUUAAGUUAUCCGCCUGGGGAGUACGGUCGCAAGAUUAAAACUCAAAGGAAUUGACGGGGGCCUGCACAAGCGGUGGAGCAUGUGGUUUAAUUCGAAGCAACGCGCAGAACCUUACCAGCGUUUGACAUCCCGCGCUAUCCUGAGAGAUUAGGGGUUCCCUUCGGGGACGCGGUGACAGGUGCUGCAUGGCUGUCGU